CAGCUACUCCCUCCGUUCCAAAUUACUCGUCGUAGAAAUGAAUAUAUCUAAAAUUAAAAUACAUCUAGAUACAUCCAUACUUGCGACAAGUAAUUCGGAACGGAGGGAGUACGUG
rnacentral:pre_miRNA from 1 species